AACGAACGCUGGCGGCAGGCUUAACACAUGCAAGUCGAACGAGAUCUUCGGAUCUAGUGGCAGACGGGUGAGGAACACGUGGGAACAUCCCUUUCAGUUCGGAAUAACGUUGGGAAACUAACGCUAAUACCGGAUACGUCCUUCGGGAGAAAGAUUGAUCGCUGAAAGAUUGGCCCGCGUCUGAUUAGCUAGUUGGUGAGGUAACGGCUCACCAAGGCUACGAUCAGUAGCUGAUCUGAGAGGAUGAUUAGCCACAUUGGGUCUGAGACACGGCCCAAACUCCUACGGGAGGCAGCAGUGGGGAAUAUUGGACAAUGGGCGCAAGCCUGAUCCAGCCAUGCCGCGUGAGUGAUGACGGCCUUCGGGUUGUAAAGCUCUUUUGUCCGGGAAGAUAAUGACUGUACCGGAAGAAUAAGCCCCGGCAUACUUCGUGCCAGCAGCCGCGGUAA
rnacentral:rRNA from 1 species